rnacentral:sRNA from 1 species
AGAAUGUACCUACUGUAUAGAUCAUCUCUGCGAUGCCCAAAAAGCAAGUUGUUUAAAAGGCUGUCAAAAUGGUUACUAUGGAACGAAUUGUCUCAAACCUUGUCCAAACUGUGCUGGAAGUCGAGCGUGUGAAAGGUACAACGGAAAAUGUGUCUCUGGAUGCUCACCCGGCUUUCACGGUGACACUUGUAUCGAUGAGUGUGGACAUUGCGACAGAGACAAGUCUUGUGAAAAACAAUCAGGUAACUGCAAAUAUGGUUGUCUACCUGGAUUCACUGGAGUAAAAUGUGUAGAUCAUAAGAAUGAUUUGGAAGACAGUCAAAAGUUUACAGUGUUCAUUUUCUACGCCGUGUUCUUGUCAAUCAUUGGCAUCACUCUGAUAGUAUUAUUCUUCUCCCAGAAGAUUUAUUGGUUCUGCAGUUCGGAUGCACGGGAAAGUUUCG